CUAAAACCUUGCAGGUUUUCUUCUUGCUGCCGCUGAAAAGGGUCAACGGUUUGCGAUGCCAUUGUUAAGGAUCGCUCUCCAGUCACCUGCUGGUGCAGCUCGUGGUCAGCUGGUGCAGCUAUAAGCCGCUUAUCUCUAUGGACUAUAAAAAAUAUUUUUCCUCUCUUAUAGUAACAUGGUAAAGCUAUAUAUAUACACUUGCAAAAUUCCUUCAGGCUGAUGAUAUUCAAAAUGAA